rnacentral:rRNA from 1 species
AUACGGAGGGGGCUAGCGUUGUUCGGAAUUACUGGGCGUAAAGCGUACGUAGGCGGACUGAUCAGUUGGGGGCGAAAUCCCAGGGCUUAACCCUGGAACUGCCUUCAAUACUGUCAGUCUUGCGUUUGGGAGAGGUGAGUGGAAUUCCUAGUGUAGAGGUGAAAUUCAUAGAUAUUAGGAGGAACACCAGUGGCGAAGGCGGCUCACUGGCCCAUUACUGACGCUGAGGUACGAAAGCGUGGGGAGCAAACAGGAUUAGAUACCCCAGUAGUCC